AACGAACGCUGGCGGCAGGCUUAACACAUGCAAGUCGAACGCGCCCUUCGGGGCGAGUGGCAGACGGGUGAGUAACGCGUGGGAACCUACCUUUUGGUACGGAAUAACUCAGGGAAACUUGAGCUAAUACCGUAUGUGCCCUUCGGGGGAAAGAUUUAUCGCCAAAGGAUGGGCCCGCGUCGGAUUAGCUAGUUGGUGGGGUAAUGGCCUACCAAGGCGACGAUCCGUAGCUGGUCUGAGAGGAUGAUCAGCCACACUGGGACUGAGACACGGCCCAGACUCCUACGGGAGGCAGCAGUGGGGAAUAUUGGACAAUGGGGGCAACCCUGAUCCAGCCAUGCCGCGUGAGUGAUGAAGGCCUUAGGGUUGUAAAGCUCUUUCGCCGGUGAAGAUAAUGACGGUAACCGGAGAAGAAGCCCCGGCUAACUUCGUGCCAGCCGCCGCAGUAA
rnacentral:rRNA from 1 species